rnacentral:rRNA from 1 species
GACGAACGCUGGCGGCGUGCUUAACACAUGCCAGUCGAACGGAAAGGCCCCUUUGGGGGUACUCGAGUGGCGAACGGGUGAGUAACACGUGAGUAACCUGCCCUUGACUUCGGGAUAACUUCAGGAAACUGGGGCUAAUACCGGAUAGGAAUCCUUGCUGCAUGGUGGGGGUUGGAAAGCUUCGGCGGUUUUGGAUGGACUCGCGGCUUAUCAGCUUGUUGGUGGGGUAGUGGCUUACCAAGGCUUUGACGGGUAGCCGGCCUGAGAGGGCGACCGGCCACAUUGGGACUGAGAUACGGCCCAGACUCCUACGGGAGGCAACAGUGGGGAAUAUUGCACAAUGGGCGGAAGCCUGAUGCAGCAACGCCGCGUGCGGGAUGACGGCCUUCGGGUUGUAAACCGCUUUCAGCAGGGGCGAAGCUUGUGGUGACGGUACCUGCAGAAGAAGCACCGGCUAACUACGUG